rnacentral:rRNA from 1 species
GCUUCGACGGGUAGCCGGCCUGAGAGGGUGACCGGCCACACUGGGACUGAGACACGGCCCAGACUCCUACGGGAGGCAGCAGUGGGGAAUAUUGGACAAUGGGCGGAAGCCUGAUCCAGCAACGCCGCGUGAGGGAUGACGGCCUUCGGGUUGUAAACCUCUUUCAGCACAGACGAAGCGCAAGUGACGGUAUGUGCAGAAGAAGGACCGGCCAACUACGUGCCAGCAGCCGCGGUAAUACGUAGGGUCCGAGCGUUGUCCGGAAUUAUUGGGCGUAAAGGGCUCGUAGGCGGUCUGUCGCGUCGGGAGUGAAAACCAGGUGCUUAACACCUGGCCUGCUUUCGAUACGGGCAGACUAGAGGUACUCAGGGGAGAAUGGAAUUCCUGGUGUAGCGGUGAAAUGCGCAGAUAUCAGGAGGAACACCGGUGGCGAAGGCGGUUCUCUGGGAGUAUCCUGACGCUGAGGAGCGAAAGUGUGGGGAGCGAACAGGAUUAGAUACCCUGGUAGUCCACACCGUAAACGUUGGGCGCUAGGUGUGGGACACAUUCCACGUGUUCCGUGCCGCAGCUAACGCAUUAAGCGCCCCGCCU